rnacentral:lncRNA from 1 species
ACAAACACAAAAGACACGCUGAGGGGCCGCCGGCUCCCGCCGAGACUGCCGCCCGCACCCGGCCAGCCCCCGCCCCCGGCCCUGCACUCCCAUCCCGCUCCGUGUGCGCACGGCGUCGAACCCCCGAAGCCCGGGUUUGGGGCGCCCGGAGGGAAGUGGGGGGAGGGGAAGGCGGGCGGAGGCGCGGCGGGUGAACGCCCGGCCUGCGGGCGUCUCGGGCCGCGGCGGGGAGGGGAGGGAGGGGCUGCCCCCGCGCGGGCCCCGGCGCGCGCCCCCGAGGAGACCCGGGCGGCAGUGGGGGAGGAGGACGCGGUCGGCCGGGUCGCCGCGCCCCAUUGGAAAACGCUCCCCAGCAGGAAGCUGGCAAAUAGGAAUCCAGCGUCCCGCGCCCGCUGUCGGACCUGGCCGCUGCGGCAGCGGGAGGGGCGGACCGACGGCCUCCUUCCCGCCUGCGCGCUCGGCCAAGUGCGGCCGGGUCCUGCGGGACCGGCCCGAGUCCGCCGUAGACAACUUGAUCCGCUAAGACUCCUGGGCCGGCCGCCUGCGUGCAGGGCAGCCCCUCGCCGGUGUUGGCCUCCGGGAUCAGGGGACGGGGCUCGCUCUCCUCCCGGGCCCGGGCCCCCGACGCAAGAUGGCUGUGUCGCGUCGGCCUCUAAACAAUGUGUGGAGCGCGCAGCUCCUGCACCAGGGCCUGGUGGCUUGUCCUGCCCGCCCGUGGGGGCCGUGUGAUCUGUUUUCGGUAGGAUUGCUUUGGAAAGGAAUUGCCGAAUAUAGAUAGUCAAAUGUCCGCAGCUUCUGCAUAGUUUAGAAGAGGCUGAAAACGGCAGAAAGAAGGCAAACGUGGUUUGGGAAUUAGUACAUAUACCUGUUUUCCAAUUCUCAGUAGCAUAGGAAACGGACUUUUCAUGGCCCAAGUUAUCCUCACGACUUGUCAGUUGAUUGGCUUUGGAACCUCUGAACCGUCCCUAGAUGGUAUUGACGCUUCACAACUGUGUGUAAAGGUUUUCAAUGGAAGGGUCAUGCAAAUAUCCCGUAGGGUAGUGAAGGAGGAAAAUUUCAUAAAUGAAGGGCAGUAAUUAUUUGUAAUCUGAAGAUCUCACAAAGCGGCUUAGUGAUAAACAUUAUCCCGAAACAGAUACAUGGAAAUCAGAUACGAGGGAAGAAAUGGAUUUGUCCAAGGUCACUUAAGUGAGGAAGAGACCUAGGAGAAACAAACAGACAAAAAUCCAGGCCUCCCGUUUCAUUAUUAUUUCAUGAAUGUUAAGUGUCCAUGGUUGCUGUGCAGAACACAUGCAAUCUCUAAUCCUAUCCUAAAAGCACAUAUGCAAUCAGCUUGGACCGAGCUGCCAGCAAAGAAUUUCCUAUAAUUCAAGCCAAGAUGAGUUAUUUUGCUUGUUUUUUGUUUUGUUUUCAGGAAACCGAAAUAUUUAUUGUUGGAUUUAUCCAGGAAGGCUGUUCUGCAUUAGUUAAAUGCAUCAUAUCUUCAAGAAAUGUUAAAUGACAUGGGUAAUGUUUUCUUUGUAUGCUGGAUUUUUCAAUAGCUUCUACUUCUUGGCUUUAAAAAAUAUUUCUAACCAAGGGUCAGACCAUUUUAGGUAGAGUAAUUAUGAUCUUAGAUGAUUUGAACUAACUCAGCUGUCUGUCCAUUUGUGAAAUGGGAAUAAUAAUAUUUAUCUCUAUGAAGUUAGGCCACAAAUUCUUUCUAGUAGGUUCAAGUAUUUAAGCACCUGGAGAGGUGACUGGUUACCCUCCUAGUGGCUUCAGGAAGUUUUCUCACUGAAUGAAUAUUUAUUGAGUGCCAACUCUGCUCAGCACAAUUCAGGGGUGCUGGGAAUGCAGCAGUGAAUAACACAAGCAGUGUUCCUGCCCUCAUGGGGCUUAUGAUCUCUGGAAGCACUGCUUUGCACAGGGAAGUAGCACCAGGAGGGGGUAAAGAAAGAGGGACUUUGGAGCCCCAAGAUUGGCAAAAACUAUAGCUAAUGAGAGAGGUGAACUGUAGAGUCUAGAUAAUGGGGAAGGAGAGGUGCCAGAGCAAGAAGGGAUUCUCACAGGGCCCUACGGGUCAGUCCUGAAUUGGCUUUACUAGAACUCAGGCCCAGCACAAUGGCUCACAUCUGUAAUCCCAGCGCUUUGGGAGGCCGAGGUGGGUGGAUCACUUGAGAUCAGGAGUUUGAGACCAACCUGGCCAACCUGGAGAAACCCUGUCUCUACUAAAAAUAAAAAUUAGCCGUCAUGGUGGCACACGUCUGUAAUCCUAGCUACUUGGGAGGCUGAAGUGGGAGGAUUGCUUGAAUUUGGGAGGUGGAGGUUGCAGUGAGCCGAAAUUUUGCCACUGCACUUCAGCCUGGGCAACAGUAAGACUCCAUCUCAGAAAAAAAAAAAAAUAGAAUUCUUGGGCUAAUAAUGGCCUCAACAUUUGCAGUUAAAAAAGAAAUGGGGAGGAUGGGAGCAAAAGGUUUUAAGUUAAAAUAUUUUCCUUAGAAUAGAGUACUUAUGGCCAUGAAUUUAGAUUUGUUUAUAAGUAGAAAAGUAGAAUGGAAAGGAUUUUAAAAGCAACGCUAUUCAUAUCUGCUUGGCUCCUGUCAAUCAACUGCAAAGAUUACUGCCUCAUGGAGAUGCUUCUGGUCACUGUAAUGCUAUCUCCAUGCACACUUUAUCACAUUGAUUUCACAUCACCUUUUUAUCACAUUGAUUUACAUCUAUCAUUUGUUCACUUGCUUAUUGUCCAGUUCCUCCCCAAAGAAUAUAACCUCUGAGGUAAUGGUGGUCUUGUCUGUUUUUUCUCCUGUCCCUGAUCAUUUGCUGUACCUUUUUAUUAGGUGAUCUCAUCCAGUUACAUGGAAAUUAUCAUGUAGAAAAAUAGAAUAAAACAAUGAACCCCUUGUACCCAUCUUUAGAAAUUACUGACUCAUGACCAAUAUUGGGUUCCCUCUAUACUCUACUCACUUCUACCUCACCGAUUUGAAUUAUUUUGAAGCAAAUCCCAGCCUGCAUUAUUUCAUCUGUAGAUAAUUUAGUAUGUAUCAUAGGAGUCAAAUAGAUGAUUGAUGUGCCCCUUAAAUCUCUUAUAAUCUACAGAUUCUUUCUCUGUAUUUGUACUUUGUUGAAAAAUAUGGAUUGGCCAGGCGUGGUGGCUCACACUUGUAAUCCCAGCACUUUGGGAGGCUGAGGUGGGCUGAUCACUUGAGGUCAGGAGUUGGAGACCACCUUGGCCAACAUGGCGAAACCCUAUCUCUACUAAAAAUACAAAAAUUAGCCAGGCGUGGUGGCUCACGCCUGUAGUCCCAGCUACUUGGGAGGCUGAGGUAGGAGAAUUGCUUGAACCCCAGGAGGCGGAGGUUGCAGUGAGCAGAGACUGCGCCACUGCACUCCAGUCUGGGCGACAGAGCAAGACUCCGUCUCAAACAAAAGAAAAAUAUGGAUCAUUUAUCCUGAGGCUUUGGAUCCACACUGUCUAAAACUGUCCUUUCCCUCAGUCUUGUCCAGUAAAUAGCACUACCAUUUACUCAACUCAAACCAAAAAGUACAGACAGCCUCCUUGAGCCUCUUUUUCUUUCACCCCGAUAGCCAGUCUAUUGGUCUUGCUCUGAAAUGCUUAUCAGAAUGACCUACUCCUCUUCUCAUCUCUUACCUGCCCUUCAACAGUAACUUUCUGUAUGACCUUUCUCUUUCCACUCCUGCACCUCUGUAUUUUAUUUGCUACCAAGCAGACACAGAUUAGAUUAUAGAAUAUAAAUCAGAUUAGGUUGCAUUCUUGCUUAAUCCAUUCAGUGGCCUCCCACUGCUCUUGGUUAAAUUCCACAUGUGUGGGCCCUGGCAUUACCCCUCUUUCCCCUCCGCACUGUGCUGCAGACUAGCCACCCCUGGUCCAUCAAGUCCUCCUCUGCCUUAGGAUCAUUGCAUCUGUUCUUUCUGAAGCUUGAAUUCUCUUCCACCAGCUUUUGAUAGGACUGUCUCACCAUCUUCUAAGGCAAACUUUCUAACCUUUCCCAUGUCAUUUUCUUCUUAGAAAAUGAUCAUAUUUGGCCAGGUGCAGUGGCUCACACCUCUAAUCCCUGCACUUUGGGAGGCCGAGGUUGGUGAAUCACCUGAGGUCAGGAGUUCGAGACCAACCUGGCCAAUAUAAUGAAACCCCGUCUCUACUAAAAAUAUAAAAAAUUAGCCAGGCAUGGUCGUGGGCACUUGUAAUCCCAGCUACUUGGGAGGCCUGAGGCAGGAGAAUCACUUGAACCCGGGAGGUGGAGGUUGCAGUGAGCUGAGAUCACACCACUGCACUCCAGCCUGGGCAACAAGAGCGAAACUCCAUGUCAAAAAAAAAAAGAAGAAAAUGAUCAUAUUUGUAAGUUGCACCGAGGAUUAGUGGAGGGUAUUUGGAGCCACUCAUAUGGAACUUGAUUUUUAAAUUUGGGCUUGGCAUGGUAGCUCAAGCCUGUAAUCCCAGCACUUUUUUAUUUGUUUGUUUGUUUAUUUUUUUUUUUUUUGAGACAAGAGUUUUGCUCUUGUUGCCCAGGCUGGAGUGCAGUGGCUCGAUCUCGGCUCACUGCAACCUCUACCUCCCGAGUUCAAGCGAUUCUCCUGCCUCAGCCUCCUGAGCAGCUGGGAUUACAGACAUGCACCACCAGUUCUGGCUAAUUUUGUGUUAUUAGUAGA